rnacentral:rRNA from 1 species
AGUCGAACGAUGAAGCCCAGCUUGCUGGGUGGAUUAGUGGCGAACGGGUGAGUAACACGUGAGUAACCUGCCCUUGACUCUGGGAUAAGCCUGGGAAACUGGGUCUAAUACCGGAUAGGAACGUCCACCGCAUGGUGGUUGUUGGAAAGAUUUAUCGGUCAUGGAUGGACUCGCGGCCUAUCAGCUUGUUGGUGAGGUAAUGGCUCACCAAGGCGACGACGGGUAGCCGGCCUGAGAGGGUGACCGGCCACACUGGGACUGAGACACGGCCCAGACUCCUACGGGAGGCAGCAGUGGGGAAUAUUGCACAAUGGGCGAAAGCCUGAUGCAGCGACGCCGCGUGAGGGAUGACGGCCUUCGGGUUGUAAACCUCUUUCAGUAGGGAAGAAGCGAAAGUGACGGUACCUGCAGAAGAAGCACCGGCUAACUACGUGCCAGCAGCCGCGGUAAUACGUAGGGUGCGAGCGUUAUCCGGAAUUAUUGGGCGUAAAGAGCUCGUAGGCGGUUUGUCGCGUCUGUCGUGAAAGUCCGGGGCUUAACCCCGGAUCUGCGGUGGGUACGGGCAGACUAGAGUGCAGUAGGGGAGACUGGAAUUCCUGGUGUAGCGGUGGAAUGCGCAGAUAUCAGGAGGAACACCGAUGGCGAAGGCAGGUCUCUGGGCUGUAACUGACGCUGAGGAGCGAAAGCAUGGGGAGCGAACAGGAUUAGAUACCCUGGUAGUCCAUGCCGUAAACGUUGGGCACUAGGUGUGGGGACCAUUCCACGGUUUCCGCGCCGCAGCUAACGCAUUAAGUGCCCCGCCUGGGGAGUACGGCCGCAAGGCUAAAACUCAAAGGAAUUGACGGGGGCCC